CCUACGGGAGGCAGCAGUGGGGGAUAUUGCACAAUGGGGGAAACCCUGAUGCAGCGACGCCGCGUGGGCGAAGAAGUAUUUCGGUAUGUAAAGCCCUAUCAGCAGGGAAGAAGAAAUGACGGUACCUGAGUAAGAAGCACCGGCUAAAUACGUGCCAGCAGCCGCGGUAAUACGUAGGGUGCAGGCGUUAUCCGGAGUUACUGGGUGGAAAGGGAGCGCAGGCGGCACGGGCAGCCUGAGGGGAAAGCCCGCGGCCCAACCGCGGGACUGCAUUGGGAACUGCCGGGCUGGAGUGCCGGAGAGGUAGGCGGAAUUCCUAGUGUAGCGGUGAAAUGCGUAGAUAGUAGGAGGAACACCAGUGGCGAAGGCGGCCUACUGGACGGUGACUGACGCUGAGGCUCGAAAGCGUGGGGAGCAAACAGGAUUAGAUACCCUAGUAGUC
rnacentral:rRNA from 1 species